ACCGGCGGUGCGGCCUAGACCGCGACGAUCGAGGAAACGAGCGUCUAGUAAGAGCAGCCAAAGCGAGAUCGUAAUGAGCCCUAGUAGCAGGAUCGGAGAGGGUCUCGUAGGCAUUGUGAAUCUCGAGGAAACUGCAUCCAUCGUCGAAAGAAGAAUCGCAAUCCGAUCUUCUGAGGGAAUCGGGAUGGUAAAUCUUGGCGAGAGUCCGGUAGGCGGUCUUGAUCUCGACGGAGGAGGCGUUGUGGUUGACGCGGAGGAUGUCGUAGAAACUGGCGGAAGAGCGUCGGGAUCCGGUGGCGACCUGGACGGAGGAGGCCAUCGGAGAUGCGAAGAGCUUGGUGGCGGACAUGGAAGGAAG
rnacentral:misc_RNA from 1 species